rnacentral:rRNA from 1 species
UGGGGAAUAUUGGACAAUGGGCGAAAGCCUGAUCCAGCCAUGCCGCGUGAGUGACGAAGGCCUUAGGGUUGUAAAACUCUUUCGUCGGGGACGAUAAUGACGGUACCCGAAGAAGAAGCUCCGGCUAACUUCGUGCCAGCAGCCGCGGUAAUACGAAGGGAGCUAGCGUUGUUCGGAAUCACUGGGCGUAAAGCGCACGUAGGCGGAUAGUUAAGUCGAGGGGUAGAAAUCCUGGGGCUCAACCCCAGAACUGCCUUUGAUACUGGCUGUCUCGAGGUCGAGAGAGGUUGGUGGAAUUCCUAGUGUAGAGGUGAAAUUCGUAGAUAUUAGGAAGAACACCAGUGGCGAAGGCGGCCAACUGGCUCGAUACUGACGCUGAGGUGCGAAAGCGUGGGAGCAAACAGGAUUAGAUACCCACGUAGUCCCUGAG